GUCGAGUCGGCCUGCGCGGAAGAUGUAACGGGGCUAAACCAUGCACCGAAGCUGCGGCAGCGACACUAUGUGUUGUUGGGUAGGGGAGCGUUCUGUAAGCCUGCGAAGGUGGCCUGUGAGGGUUGCUGGAGGUAUCAGAAGUGCGAAUGCUGACAUAAGUAACGAUAAAGCGGGUGAAAAGCCCGCUCGCCGGAAGACCAAGGGUUCCUGUCCAACGUUAAUC
rnacentral:rRNA from 1 species